ensembl:lncRNA novel transcript
UGUUGCCCAGUCUGGUCUUGAACUCCUGAGUUCAAGGAAUCUGCCUGCCUCAGCCUUCCAAAGUCCUGGGAUUACAGAUGUGACCAACUGCACCUGGCUGGGCAGCCGUUCUUUAGAUGGUAUGUCACAUCUCUUGAUAGAAGAUUAGGUGACCAUUCUCAGGGCAUUGAAUUGGCACAUUUUGACCUUCUUAUCCAACAUUUCUUUUUUUCCCAGACAGCAAGCAACAAUAGCAGCACCGUAAUUUGUCGUUUUAUAUUUACUUUUAAGGUUUUCAAUAAAGUAAAAUGGAGUGAUACAGUGAUGAUAUUCUCUGCCUCUCUAGUCGGACUUUGAAUUUUUAUUCUGUGUGUCCAGGGGUAUGACACAUCUUGAAUUCCAGGAGGACUUUGAAUUUUUAUUCUGUGUGUCCAGGGGUGUGACAUAUCUUGAGCAAAUAAAAUAAAGCUUACCUACUCCAAGUAUAAUAGAAACCUAGAAGACAGGGCAAGGAGAGUUGCUUCUAUUACUCAGUGUAGCUCUCGGAGUCAGAUAGCAAGGACCACUGGUUAUACACAUUGGGAUUCCCUACUGUCAGACUAUCCCUUAAGGUUCUCUUCUGAUGAAGGUUUUUGCAUAGGUGUGCACUUCUGCAGAGGGGCUGGAAACUCCGCCAGGUAGAGUAGGAAUUUUUCAACCUGCUCUAUGGUUGUCCAGUUGAGGAUGUGUUUGUGUGGUUUCUAAAACACAUCGAGGAGCCAUAUAACAGGAGCCAAUACUCAUUUUUUUUUUGAAUGAAUGACUUGAGAAAGCAAGCUGCUUCCUCUUUUCUCUUUUUCCAAUUUCUCCUCAAAUCCCAAAGGAUCUUUGAAUAUCACUGAGUUACUUGACAGGUUAGUGUCCAGUGAAUUUACAAGAAUUUGGUUUGGAAAGAGCAGGCUGUCUUCCUAUGUGAUAAGGAGUCCCUAGAUAGCAGUGCCUUCUCUUGAGAAUGCAGCUAAGCACACUCACAAUUGUGCCUCUGUGCAGGGGAUAUCCCAAGUGGCCAAAAAGAGAAAGCAAAGCAUGGAACCAGCUAUUGAGUCUGUAAUUUUAUUGUGAAAACUUGGUACCAGUGUGAUGGUAGAUCAUAAGUUUCUUGAGGACAAGGAGUGUGUCAUUAAUUUUGUGUCUCCAAGGCCAAGCCCAGGAUUUGAUGUAUAGGAGAUCUUUAAAACAUGGUCCCUGCAAUGGUUAAUUUUAUGUGCGACUUGGCUAGGCCCUGGUACCCAGAUAUUUGGUCAAAGAUGUCUGGAUAUUGCUGCAAAGGUAUUUUUUAGAAGAGAUUAACAUUUAAAUCAUAGACUGAGUAAAGCAGCUUAGCCUCUGUGAUGGUUAAUUUUAUGUGCCAUAAUGUGAAUGGACCUCAUCCAAUCAGUUGAAGGUCAUAAGGAAAAGGCUGAUCUCCACUGAGGAAGAGGAAAUUCUGCCAGCAGACUGCCUUUGGACUCAAACUGCAACAUCAGCUCUUCCCUGAGUCUCCAGCCUGCCCACCUAACCUGCAGAUUUUGGACUUACCAGCCUCCAUGAUUGCAUGAGCCAAUUCUUUAUGAAUGAAUGAAUGAAUGAAUGUCUUCAACAUCUUUGCUUUACUCUGAUGCUCUCCCCUACCCCCACAAUUCCAGUGAAGUGAGGAAAACUAUUUUGCCAAGCCAAAACUUUGGAUCUUUGCCCUAAAAUCCCAGAGUCUUCCCUUUAAAUAGAGAGUGAAAGCCCUGAUACUGACAAGGAUAAGACAGGGGAAAGAUAAUUUGGUGGGGGGGUGUUGAGGGAGGAGAAGAAUUCACCAACUCCCCUCAAAAUCUCUGAUUUCAUAUUUACUGUUAAUAUCCAAUGUAAAAACAGUUGGCUUGAUUUAAAUGUCUUUGUUGGUUUCCCAAGCCCCAUCACCACCACCACCACCGGCUCACCCUGCCAAGGCCUGAGAUGCUGAAGACCACUUUUCAGCCUGAUGUAAUUUCUAACAGCUGAGAUACUAAACACUGAAAAAUGGGGUUUAUAAUGGAAAUGCUGACAGACUAUUAACUAUAGCAGCACUGCUCUAAUAAGUGGAAUGGCCUAUCUUAAUCUCUAGUUCAUAAAUAUGCAAAUACAAGACUGGAGAUUUGCUCCAAAAAAUGUCUCUAUAAUUUUAACUGACCUUUACUGAUACCAAAUGAGCCUGUUGCUUCAGUUUUUGUACGCUGGAUAUAAAGUACAGGAGAUCCAGACGCCUGUCGGCCUAAAGUAUAUAAAGUUUAAACUGCCAGCUACUAAACUCUGGGCUCAGAUUCCAUUUCUCUUCACAUUCACAGUCUUUAUUGACAUUUUCAUUUUUUUUUCCCCAGGGGGUGUAAGCCGAGUCGGGGCGGGGCGGGGGGAACAAACCUUGUUCAUCCCCCUUCCCCCACGACAUUACUUCCACAUUCACAGCGCCUGCCCAGCCAAAAUUCAUGGAUCGCCUCAAGGACAAACAGGCCAUCUACACUGAAUUAUAAAUUUGAGUUUUAUCCAGUUUUCUGCCUUUGGACCAAAUGGGCAGCAAAUCCAGUGACUUCAUAUUUAAUAACCUAGAUGUCAUUUGUACUGUGUCUUUCAGCACAGAGUAAAGAAUUGGAUGGCUAGCAGUUUUGCAGAUUUUUCCCCCUAAUUAUUUGAAGCUGUUCAGCCUGGUAUUCGAACUAUUGAUGCAGAGCCAAAUUGCCAGCAGGGGAGAGAUCUGUCCAACCCAGGAGCUAAAUGAGUCACUGAGAGUCAAUCUGUUUUUCCCUUGCUGCUGGGGUUUCCUCUGGCCCUGGCCUCUCUGUCUCUCUGCUCCAGUCAGACACAGAGCUGCGGGCUCAGCCCUCAUUGGCUCCUAUCGCCUCCCAUUCCCCUCCUCAGCCCUGCUUGCUGCAGCUGUUGAUGGGGUCUGACUGGCUGGCUGCGGAGAUUCAGGGCCUCAAUGACACCAUAGUUGAGGCCUUGCUUUGACAGAAAAUGAAGACAUCUUUGCCUUGUUGCAUUUGCUUCUCCAGUAAUACAUCAGGUAUCUGGAGAGUAAGGCCCACAAGCAGAGUGUGUUGUUGGGGUGCGAUGCCAGUUCAUCAAUUCCCGACGUCCAGUUUUCAGAGUGCUCUUCUACUUUUCCUAAGUCCAAAUGGAGUCCUUGGUGCCAGAAUCCUGCAUGUGGUCAUAAAAUAACAAAAAUAAAGGUCUGUGGAUGUGCUGGAGGUAGUGGCAGGGCAGAAUGCCACCAACAUAAGCCAGGCUUGCUGGAGUGGUCACUCUUCAAGCAUUGGAGAAAAAUUCACAGUGCUUCUAAUAACAUAUUUUUUUUUCCAGUAGAAACAUUUUAUUUCUAACAACAUUUACUUAAAAACAAAAUUCUUGUAUUCUUCAUGUAGGGUCAGUAUUCAAUUGCACAAAAAUAUGCAGCCAACUUAAGAACUAUAUAUAAGAUUAAGACACCUGGUAUUUCAUGGUAAAUGAUUAAAUUAACUAACACAGUUAUAUCCUGAACUUUGCCAUUAGGAAUGACAAUUUUGUUCGAUAUGCAUUGAGGAUUGUGGGUAAUCUAAACUGGUAUGAGCUUUUUCUCUUUGAAACUCAAACAGAAUUAAGGAACAGCAUUCUCUGCAAACAGAAUAUGGAGUUUGAGAACAGCCACAAAAAAUUCUCUUGUAGUAAGCUGAACUGCCCUAGGAGUACUCAGGAAUUAGACAACUCAGGAAUUAGAGAAUUAGAGAACUGGAGAAAUGAGGGGGCGUGGAUAGUAGGGAGAGAAAAAUUGAUUAAUUGAUUUACUAUAUUUUUCAAAUAGAAGUAUCUGGGAAAAUAAGACAAAACAAGCAGAGUUGUUUCUUUUUCACAGUGAAGCCCCAGAGGGGUGAAAGCUUUGUUCUCCCUGGGUAGCAAGCUCUUUUUUCACAUUUCCGACUGCAUAUUCCAUAUUUAUGAUGAUUUUUGGUCUCUCUGUUCCUGGCUUGCUAGGUGGCAAGGGCAGUUAGAGAAAAAAGGCAGAUUUAUGAAACACAGAAAAAUUUCUGACUGAAAUCAGGCUUGGAUUUGUGAAUCACUGUUUUUUCCCCCUGUGGUCACUCCUGUGAUGAGGUCAACUGCUUCAAUCCUUUAGGUUUUGUAGACAGGUUUCCGGAUUCCAGGAGUCCCAGAAGGUCCAGGGAGCGCUCCCCACAUUUUAGCCAGAAGUAAUUAACUAAAACAUAAAGGCCCCACUUUCUCUUUUCACACUUUGAGCCACAGAUCAUCUAAUUCCUAGCUUGAGACAUCAGAUUUCAGAUCAUUAGUGCAAAGCAUCUUCCACAGGAGGCAAUAAAAUGUCACUUUAUGUAACUCAGCUACAGUUACACUGCCUUCAGAAAGCAGGAAUCUCCCUGAAAACAAAUUUACAUGAAAACAGUCCCAUUGUUUGAGAAUUUAUGCAAAUGUUGCACAAAGGGGUUUGAUAGUGAUUUUAAAAACUUAAAUCUUUAUCACUGCCUCAAAGAUAUCCUGAGAAACUUGGUUACCUCUAAAGAAUUCCAUUGCACUUAUUUUUUAAAAUGCCUAUAAUAUAGAGUUGUUUUAAAAAUUUUCCCUAAACUCUAAACUUCUUUCUCAGCUUCAAAGCCUUCCGUAAUGAAUAUCCUAAAGAGAGCCUAGUGCAUAUUGGUUUAACACUUACUAGGAUCACUCAUUACUAGUUAAGAAAAUUGAAGAUAACAACCAUAGCACCAAGUAUUUUGAACAACAUAAAAUGUUUCUCCCGUGGGUGUAGCUCUUAGGGACCGCAUGGGGAUACACACCCCUCAGUGCUCAAUCAGCAAAAGAUGAAGCUGUAAGUGUCUCAAUCCAUGUUGAUUGACUCUGAACUCCCCAGUGUUAGGAAUCUGGAUGUGUCCAUUACUGCAUGUUCAAACAAUGAACUGCCUGCACCAGAAAUCUGAUUUCUGUAGAAAGACAUUAAGGGGCUGGGUGAGGAAUAGGGUGUCAACCAAACGUUGUGAUAUUUUCCUUUGAUUUUCACUUUCUUUAAAUUCUUUUCCAUUUACUACCUAGUGACUGUCUGGCAUUGGUACCCUCAGUUUCUUUUCUUCUGCUUUUCCUCCUAAUUCAGUGUGGAAGAUGAUCAAAGUAUGACAUUUCUUCUACCCCAGAGGCUGGCAUUUCUGCAGGCACAAAUGAGCUUGGUUUUCAAGCACUGCUCUUUGAACACAAGGAAUUCCUUUAAUGAUCACGCCGGACUAUAUAGACUUUGGAAUCAGACUCUUUGAAUUCCAGCUCUGCCAUUUACCAACUUUGACACUUUGGACAACGUCUCAUUCUGUCACCCAGGCUGGAGUGCAGUGGCACAAUUAUAGCUCACUGCAGCCUCAAACACCUGGGCUCAAGCAAUCCUUCCACCUCUGCCUCCUGAGUAAUUGGGACUACAGGCAUG